GCACUUAUAUGAAAUUUUAAGCGAAUUCAACUUUUACGUGCGUGUACGCACGUAUGAAAAACGCGUAACUGGAAUGCAGCCUUUAAUACUGAAGAGAUAACAUUUAUUUAAGUUUAUCCCACUUGAGUUUUCAAGUAAAAUUCAUGAAUUUUAGGAAUUUAUUCUCAAUAGUUUUGGACUCAAUUCUCAACGGUGGAAAUAAUGUGAUUGCGAUCGUUCAAUUUUAUUUGAUUCGUAAUUUGGUCAAUUUUCUUUAAAAUAAUACGAAAAAGGUAUUAUUGGACAGUAAAGUUUUUCUUGCGAAAAAUUAUGGUGUUCGUUUUACAAUGCUCUCAACGGCAAAAGCGAUAAAACUGCACAAGAAUUAAACACUCUAAUCCUUCUUUUAUUUUUGCACAUACGAUAUAAACACGAAUAAAAACAAUACUAAAGCAUAUAAUGUAAUUUAUAUUUUAUAUGUUUUGUGCUUUACGGUAAAAACGUGACGGAAUUACUAAACUCUUGAAAAAGACAUUCGAGUUUUUUUUGUUCGAUAGUUAUACAUAUACAUAAAUAUUAUUCUCAAAUUUAAUUGCAUACAAUGUUAUCAGGAUAAAACCACUAUAUAUAUAUUGAUGUAUAAAACUUUGUGCUGAACAAAAUCUCGCACAAACAAAUCGAAGUAAAUACUGAGUAAAUACUGAAGGAAAUCGCCGGAAUUCCUGUUCUUCGUGAAAAUGUUACAGUGUGCAAGCGACCUUUGCGAAAAGGAGAUGGAGGGAUGGAGACUAUCCAGAAUUGAUGGUGUUUAGGUAAACGCUGGACCGCAAGUUUUAGAUUUUCAAAAAAUGCAGUGGACUAAUACUUGUUUACCAGUCCAAACGAAUCGUAGAUCGAGUAUUAUCCCCAAAUAUGAUUUUUGGUAAGUGUAGUAUUUGGGUCAUUCUAAGAAGAAAUUUAAUACAUCUUUUUAAAAUCACUCUAUAGUAUUAAGAGUCUCAUCUUCAUCAAUUUUUAAUUUGCCGAAUAUGUCAUUAGAUGUAUUGCAAAUUUCUAGCCGUGUUUUUUUUUCUGUUAAAAUGAUUUCUGUUGAUUUUUUACCAAAUGCAUGGGGCUUCGCUUUCGGUGGCAUCAAGCGCCUAUCACCUAUGAGAUCGUGGGCUCGAUUAAGUAUGUAAUUAGGUAAGCGUAAUACUUGAUGUAAAGUGCAUUUGAUCAUAUCUACAUGUAAAUUUGCGCUAUAAAAAUCUUAUUAUAAAAUAACAUGUAUAUAAAGCGUGCUCUGAUUGGUCGAAACCCGUGUUUGGAUCAGGCCAUCCAAGACUAUCGUGUUGUUGUUAUUUUAUAAAACAAUUACUUUAUGGUUUCCGUGUUUGGAUGGCCUGAUCCAAACACUUGGGAAUGUUGCUCGAGUUAAGAAAAGCGCGCAAAAUCACUCGCCUUCGGCUCGUGAUUCGCGAACUCUCGCAACAUUCCCGCGUGUUUGGAUCAGGCCAUCCAAACACGGAAACCAUAAAGUAAUUGUAUAAUCUUAAUAAAGAUAUAGUCCAUUUCUUUUUGGAAUGACCCAAACAUUACAUAUACAAAAAAUCAUAUUUUGGAGUUAGGCGAAGUUUAGGAUAUAGUGGAUAACCUAUACAUAUAAUUGUCCAAUAAUUCAGAAGUCCCCCCGCCCCCUCUCGCAAUGGCCCUAAAGUCAUGAACCCCGUCUAACCGACGGGCCUUUUUCUUCUAUUGCCGUUCCGAUUCCUUCUAUUUCUGUUUCUCCUCGUUGUCAAUUUUCUCAUCGAUUUUUUCUUCGCAAUACAGCAAUCCAGGUAACAACGCUUGCUCCUUCGCGCAGGACACUGCUUCAGGGUCUUCAAGAAACUGUUUUCCCUGCUGUAGCUUUUCCGGAGGGUGCACCUGGAAAUACCGCCCCUCGCCGCCCUGUUUCCCCUCUGGCAACAUUUGCAGCAAUCUCUCUUCGAGUCCGACUUCCAUUGCUUUUUCUGGACUCUGUCUGCCGGGCAGUAUUUCUGCAUUGGUUUGCGCGAUGACGGUUGAACUAUUGUAAUAAUAAUAAUAAUACAUUGACUAUGUAGGUCUUGCAGUUAAAUGGGAAUAUUACCACAGAAUAGAGACCUUACAGAAGGCGGACUUCUUGGUUUUGCCUAUGAUUUUGGCGUAACCGUUGCAAUAAUGUCGCCAUGUUCCUAGCCAGUGCGCUUGCGGAAUCAUGGCAGUUUUCUGUAUGGUCUUAUUCUGUGAUAUUACACUGUAAAAACACUCUGGUUAACAUUUUCCUGGUUGACCUAGAACAUAGCCUAUCGAAGGGAAGGUGGCUGUGAAACUCAUUAGAAUAACAAAAUAACUCAUUAUCUAUGUUAGUCAACGUUUAUUCAUAAAUACGGUCCUUCACC